AUUGAACGCUGGCGGCAUGCUUUACACAUGCAAGUCGAACGGUAACAGGCCUUCGGGUUCUGACGAGUGGCGAACGGGUGAGUAAUGCAUCGGAACGUGCCCAGAGGUGGGGGAUAACGCAGCGAAAGCUGUGCUAAUACCGCAUGUGAUCUGAGGAUGAAAGCGGGGGACCAGGCAGCAAUGUUUGGCCUCGCGCCUUUGGAGCGGCCGAUGUCAGAUUAGGUAGUUGGUGGGGUAAAGGCCUACCAAGCCGACGAUCUGUAGCUGGUCUGAGAGGACGAUCAGCCACACUGGGACUGAGACACGGACCAGACUCCUACGGGAGGCAGCAGUGGGGAAUUUUGGACAAUGGGCGCAAGCCUGAUCCAGCAAUGCCGCGUGCGGGAAGAAGGCCUUCGGGUUGUAAACCGCUUUUGUACGGAACGAAAAGGCUCUGGCUAAUACCUGGGGCUGAUGACGGUACCGUAAGAAUAAGCACCGGCUAACUACGUG
rnacentral:rRNA from 1 species